rnacentral:rRNA from 1 species
AGUGAACGCUGGCGGUAGGCCUAACACAUGCAAGUCGAACGGCAGCACAGUAAGAGCUUGCUCUUACGGGUGGCGAGUGGCGGACGGGUGAGGAAUACAUCGGAAUCUACUUUUUCGUGGGGGAUAACGUAGGGAAACUUACGCUAAUACCGCAUACGACCUACGGGUGAAAGCAGGGGAUCUUCGGACCUUGCGCGAUUGAAUGAGCCGAUGUCGGAUUAGCUAGUUGGCGGGGUAAAGGCCCACCAAGGCGACGAUCCGUAGCUGGUCUGAGAGGAGGAUCAGCCACACUGGGACUGAGACACGGUCCAGACUCCUACGGGAGGCAGCAGUGGGGAAUAUUGGACGAUGGGCGCAAGCCUGAUCCAGCCAUACCGCGUGGGUGAAGAAGGCCUUCGGGUUGUAAAGCCCUUUUGUUGGGAAAGAAAAGCAGCAGGUUAAUACCCCGCUGUUCUGACGGUACCCAAAGAAGAAGCACCGGCUAACUUCGUG